rnacentral:sRNA from 1 species
GCCAGGCACAGUGGCACACGCCUGUAAUCCCAGCAGCUCAGGAGGCUGAGGCAGGAGGGUCUCGAGUUUGAAAUCAGCCUCAGCAAUGGUGAGGCGCUAAGCAACUCAGUGAGACCCUGCCUCUA